UACGUAGGGGGCAAGCGUUGUCCGGAAUCAUUGGGCGUAAAGAGCGUGUAGGCGGUCCGGUAAGUCAGCUGUGAAAGUCAAGGGCUCAACCCUUGAAUGCCGGUUGAUACUGUCGGGCUAGAGUCCGGAAGAGGCGAGUGGAAUUCCCGGUGUAGCGGUGAAAUGCGCAGAUAUCAGGAGGAACACCGGUGGCGAAGGCGGGUCUCUGGGCAGUAACUGACGCUGAGGAGCGAAAGCGUGGGGAGCGAACAGG
rnacentral:rRNA from 1 species